rnacentral:rRNA from 1 species
AACGAACGCUGGCGGCAUGCCUAACACGUGCAAGUCGAACGAGAUCUUCGGGUCUAGUGGCGCACGGGUGCGUAACGCGUGGGAAUCUGCCCUUUGGUUCGGAAUAACAGUUGGAAACGACUGCUAAUACCGGAUGAUGACGAAAGUCCAAAGAUUUAUCGCCAGAGGAUGAGCCCGCGUAGGAUUAGCUAGUUGGGGUGGUAAAGGCGCACCAAGGCGACGAUCCUUAGCUGGUCUGAGAGGAUGAUCGGCCACACUGGGACUGAGACACGGCCCAGACUCCUACGGGAGGCAGCAGUGGGGAAUAUUGGACAAUGGGCGAAAGCCUGAUCCAGCAAUGCCGCGUGAGUGAUGAAGGCCUUAGGGUUGUAAAGCUCUUUUACCCGGGAUGAUAAUGACAGUACCGGGAGAAUAAGCUCCGGCUAACUCCGUGCCAGCAGCCGCCGUAA